CUCAGGCACGGGUAAUACUAGGGUUGCCACCCGUCCCGUAAAAUACGGAACCGUCCCAUAUUUGGCUGUUAAAUGUAGCGUCCCGAAACGGAUGAACC